GACGAACGCUGGCGGCGUGCUUAACACAUGCAAGUCGAACGGAAAGGCCCUGCUUUUGUGGGGUGCUCGAGUGGCGAACGGGUGAGUAACACGUGAGUAACCUGCCCUUGACUUUGGGAUAACUUCAGGAAACUGGGGCUAAUACCGGAUAGGAGCUCCUGCUGCAUGGUGGGGGUUGGAAAGUUUCGGCGGUUGGGGAUGGACUCGCGGCUUAUCAGCUUGUUGGUGGGGUAGUGGCUUACCAAGGCUUUGACGGGUAGCCGGCCUGAGAGGGUGACCGGCCACAUUGGGACUGAGAUACGGCCCAGACUCCUACGGGAGGCAGCAGUGGGGAAUAUUGCACAAUGGGCGGAAGCCUGAUGCAGCAACGCCGCGUGCGGGAUGACGGCCUUCGGGUUGUAAACCGCUUUCGCCUGUGACGAAGCGUGAGUGACGGUAAUGGGUAAAGAAGCACCGGCUAACUACGUGCCUGCAGCCGCGGUGAUACGUAGGGUGCGAGCGUUGUCCGGAUUUAUUGGGCGUAAAGGGCUCGUAGGUGGUUGAUCGCGUCGGAAGUGUAAUCUUGGGGCUUAACCCUGAGCGUGCUUUCGAUACGGGUUGACUUGAGGAAGGUAGGGGAGAAUGGAAUUCCUGGUGGAGCGGUGGAAUGCGCAGAUAUCAGGAGGAACACCAGUGGCGAAGGCGGUUCUCUGGGCCUUUCCUGACGCUGAGGAGCGAAAGCGUGGGGAGCGAACAGGCUUAGAUACCCUGGUAGUCCACGCUGUAAACGGUGGGUACUAGGUGUGGGGUCCAUUCCACGGGUUCCGUGCCGUAGCUAACGCUUUAAGUACCCCGCCUGGGGAGUACGGCCGCAAGGCUAAAACUCAAAGGAAUUGACGGGGCCCCGCACAAGCGGCGGAGCAUGCGGAUUAAUUCGAUGCAACGCGUAGAACCUUACCUGGGUUUGACAUGGAUCGGGAGUGCUCAGAGAUGGGUGUGCCUCUUUUGGGGUCGGUUCACAGGUGGUGCAUGGCUGUCGUCAGCUCGUGUCGUGAGAUGUUGGGUUAAGUCCCGCAACGAGCGCAACCCUUGUUCACUGUUGCCAGCACGUUAUGGUGGGGACUCAGUGGAGACCGCCGGGGUCAACUCGGAGGAAGGUGGGGAUGACGUCAAGUCAUCAUGCCCCUUAUGUCCAGGGCUUCACGCAUGCUACAAUGGCUGGUACAGAGAGUGGCGAGCCUGUGAGGGUGAGCGAAUCUCGGAAAGCCGGUCUCAGUUCGGAUUGGGGUCUGCAACUCGACCUCAUGAAGUCGGAGUCGCUAGUAAUCGCAGAUCAGCAACGCUGCGGUGAAUACGUUCCCGGGGCU
rnacentral:rRNA from 1 species